rnacentral:misc_RNA from 1 species
UGCUGCAGAGUGCCUGGAUGG